GGGGGCGGUGGUUCUGUUGUCCUGUUGCCCUUUUAAGCUGCGGCUUGACAGGGGCCGCGCCUCCUGUCGGUGGAGUCGGUUACAAAGGGAGCAGCCCCCCAGGCCGCCACACAGCUCCCGCCAAGACCUGGUGCCCCUUGCCAUUUUCCAGCCGCGCUCCCAGGAGAGUGGAGGCUGCAGGAAGAGGCGGGUCUUUAGGCUCACAAGAGCUCGGCCAGGCGGCACCGCGGGGUGGUCGUGGCCAUGACAGCGGCUCCAGACGGCUCCCCUUCCACGCCCUUCCCGCCGGAGAUGAGGGGAAGAUGUCUGUGUCAAGAUUCAAGGCCAAACUGAAGUUGCUGGCGUCUAUCUUCCACGAGAACCAGGAGGCUCAGCUGCGGCUCACGCUCCACUGCAACAUGAGAAUGGGACAACAGAAGAAGUGACUUCAGAGGAAGAGGAAGAAGAGGAGACGGCUGAAGUUCAGGAAGACUCAACUUUUCCAGCAGAAAGGACAAUGAUGCCUCAACAGAGCCGGAUGACUCUCGAUGGCCAUGCCACUUAACAAAGCAUGGCCACCCACUUGUUCACCUGCAGCCUGAGGAAAGGAACAGCUGCAACACCUGCCAGGGACUUAGGGGAUGAAGCCCUGGAGGCUGAUCAGAUAUCCUCCUCUGGAGGUGGAGCCACAUGGCUAAUACGCCACCGGACACAGAUGUGUGCAGUUUUGUGUUUGCUGUGGGCUGUGAUGCAAAUCGCAUUUUGUAGUCCCCAUCUUUGGAGAUGCUCCAGACAGUCCCUCGGAGAAAGACAGAAAUGGAUCCCUUUGUUCUUUCUGUUCUUUCCAGGCAACCUGCCUCUGAGGGGAAGAGGGCCCAGACAUAGGAUGCUGCUAAGCAACUACUGUAAUUGUCAGCAUAAGGGGCUGGAACUCAGGUUCCAUCCUGCACACUUGCACAAGCCCACCAAUGGGAUCAAAGAUGAAGGGUGGCAGCGAUUGGAGAGGUCAGGAUAAGAAGAUUCAAGAUGCCAGAAAUCUGCAACAUGAGAUACAGCCCAGGCUCUGGGCUUGUUCCUCCAGGGCUGCGUCGCUGCGUAGCUGAUGUGGCCUGUGAGCUGGGCCUCAAAGGACAUUGCAUUUAAAGCAGAGGAGAGGAGGAAAUUUUUGGGAGAUAAGAUGGGAUUUACAGAGACACCAAAAGAGCAAAAGAAAAUAGUUCCUGAUGGUCUGAGCACAUAGAGAGUCACCGUGGAGGAGACUGGACAUUGGUACAUAUCCUACAAUGCCUGCCCCAUGGCUCUGGCCUCAUGCCAUGCCAUGCAACGUGGCACCUGGCAUCUCAGUCAACAGAUGUCCCAGAUCUCAGUCGAUGGCAUUUAUUACCAAAUUAUUCUGCCAUCUUAUAUUCGAGUCCUUCCAAAGCCUUUCUUGUUGUGGGAGGGGGAGAAUCUUAUUUUUUAAAUUUUAUUUUAGUUAUUUCAUGUAUAUAAGUUGUACAUCAUGAUGGAUUUUUUAAAUACAUUUAAUUGUGUAUGUUUAA